AGAUAGUAUUGCCUCAGCCCCUCCCCUUGUUUCCCAGCCGUCUUAGCGGAGCAUGUCUCCUCCACCAUAAUUGAUUCCGGUUGCUUAGUUUCCAACCCUACCGUCGCCAUUAAUGCAAGAAUCGGAAGCUUUUAAGUGCUAAUAAGGUAUUUGGUCUCGAGGGGUUUCUUUCGGAACAAGUCUGACGAGAUGCAAGGAGUUAUCGGUGCCG
rnacentral:misc_RNA from 1 species